ensembl:snRNA U6 U6 spliceosomal RNA
GUGCUUGUUUUGGCAGCACAUACAGUAAAACUGGAACCAUAAAGAAAAAAAUUAGCACGGCCUCUAGGCAACGAUGACAAGCAAACUAGUAAAGCAUUCCAGAUAUUU